CAAGAGUUUUAUGCGAAGGCUAGUUUUCCAGGAGUCAUUAUGUGUGUUGAUGGUACGCACAUAAAAAUAGUGAAGCCAUCUGAAGAGGGGUUUCUAUAUUAUAAUAGAAAAGGUUUUUAUAGCAUCAAUGCUAUGGUGGUGUGCGAUAACAGAAUGCGUAUAAAAAGCAUUGAUGCCAGGUAUCCUGGGUGCAAUCACGACUCGCAGGUAUGGGGCUUAAGCAAGCUGAGAUCGCAUAUGGAACGGCGAUAUCGGGAAGGUGAAAGAAAACGCAUGGCUGUUAGGUGAUGCGGGGUAUCCAUUGCAGCCUUGGCUAAUGACUCCAUAUCGAUCUGUAAGUCGAAGCAGCCCGCAAAGUAAUUACAACAUGCGGCACUCCACAACAAGGAAUAUAGUAGAGCGGACGAUUGGGGUAUUGAAGAACCGUUUUCCGAUGCUUGUCGGGUGCUCGAGAACUACAUUACUCACCACACAAAGUCAGUCAAAUAAUAAACGUUGCCUGUGCUCUCCACAACAUUUGCAUUUACUACAAAGUGGGAGAUUUGAACGCAAAUGAAUUUAAUUUUGAAAGCCGUCAGGAGGAGGAGGAAGAAGAGCAAAGCAGUGACCCCGAUUAUACUUCCAUAGCAAAUCGUAUUCGAGACAACAUACUCGCUACUUUUUAAUAAAUUU